AUUCAACUGACGAGUCCUAAAUAGGAUGAAACGUGCGUCCUGGAU
rnacentral:hammerhead_ribozyme from 1 species